GUAUAACCUCUCCAUGGACUGAGACACGGUCCAGACUCCUACGGGAGGCAGCAGUAGGGAAUAUUGCUCAAUGGGGGAAACCCUGAAGCAGCAACGCCGCGUGGAGGAUGAAGGUUUUAGGAUUGUAAACUCCUUUUGUUAGAGAAGAUAAUGACGGUAUCUAACGAAUAAGCACCGGCUAACUCCGUGCCAGCAGCCGCGGUAAUACGGAGGGUGCAAGCGUUACUCGGAAUCACUGGGCGUAAAGAGCGCGUAGGCGGGAUAGUCAGUCAGGUGUGAAAUCCUAUGGCUUAACCAUAGAACUGCAUUUGAAACUACUAUUCUAGAGUGUGGGAGAGGAAAGGGUGGAAUA
rnacentral:rRNA from 1 species